rnacentral:sRNA from 1 species
GCCGGGUGCGAUGGCGCAUGCCUGUAAUCCCAGUGACUCUGGAGGCUGAGGUAGGAGGAUCACAAGUUUGAGGCCAGCCUCAGCUAGUGAGGGAGGUCCUGAGCAACUUAGCAAGACCCUAUCUUGU